AUGCAUGCUGGGCUAUAAUUUAUGAAACGGAGCCCAGGAAACAACCAAUCGCUCAGCUUCUCCUAACAAGUCCAACUGGCUAUGAAAAGCUGGAAGUGCUGCACAGAACAAUGAAGAGGAGCUAUCCCACAUAUUAAUCUGCUUUUCUAGGAUUGCCUUCUGUGUAGAGAGAGGGAAGCAUGUAAAAGGGAGAGGAAAAAAAAAAAGAAAAAUCACAGCUUCACUGUUAAAAGAACAGAAUAAAUUCCACUCAACAGGAAAAUGUUCCAUUGCAGUCA
rnacentral:lncRNA from 1 species